UUUAUCAACUAAAAACUCAUAGUUACUGAAUAGUUUAAAGAUCCUCAUUUAAAUUUUACGAGAAGAGUCAGAACAGUCUUAAUUCUCAAAACUACCUACCGAAUCGUUACAACACCUACCACUUAAACAAAUGUUCGUCCUCAAACGGAAAAAAAAAAGAACUCACCUGAAUGCUAAAAAAGUUGAGGAUAUCUACUCCUCAUGUCUGACUCGGUCCCAUGCCUCUACUGGACGAUACUUCCAUUACACCUUUACUGAAGCAAUCUCUUUGGACCUUAACUUCCAAAUUUGUCUAUCCAAAAUGGUUACCGACUCCUCCUCAAAAGUCAUAUUCUGAUCGAGUAACAGUGAAUACCAUUGAAUCACAUGAGCACCACCCUGAUGAUACUUUUUCAACAUCAAAUUUGAAAUACGGGAUGAACAUCCGACAAACAAGGUGGAAAAGCCAACUGAUACACCACAUCACUAAUACACUCCACAAUCUCAAAAGGACAAAUAUAACUUGGGCUCAACUUUUCCUUCUUCCCAAAUCUCAUCACACCCUUCAUGGGUGAAACCUUCAAUAGUACCCUCUUUCCAACCAUAAACUCCAAAUCACAAACCUUUCGAUCCGCAUAACUCUUUUGCCUCCUCUAAUCCAUGAGAAGUCUAUCUUGGAUCAAUUUGACCUUGUCCAAGGACUCCCUCAGCAAAUAUGUACCCCACGGUAUAACCUUAAAUGCAUCAAACCGACAAAUUAGAGAUCACAUUUCCUACCAUAAAAAUCCUUAAAUGUUUCCAUCUCAAUACUUGAAUGGUAACUAUUGUUGUAAGCAAACUCCUCCAAUGGUAAGAAUUAAUCCCACUGACCACCAAACUCGAUCACACACUACCACAACAUGUCCUCAAGAACCUAAAUAGUUUGUUCAGACUAACCGUCAGUCUAAGGGUGAAAGGUUCUACUAAGAUCUACCCGAGUGCCCAACUCAAAUAUAUAUUUUGGCUAACUUCUUUGAAUUAUAGGUAGUAUGAACUGGCUAAAGUGUAAAGACUUGGUCUAUCGAUUCAUAAUGACCCAUAUAGCAUCAAACUUAUCCAAUAUACAUGGAAACCCUACCACAAAGUCUAUAGCAAUAAGCUCUCACUUCCACUCAGAUAUAGCAUUCUCUAAGUCACACUUCUAGGCUUUUGGUGUUCAUACUUCACUUGCUGACAACUCAAACACCGAAAUACAAAAUCUACUAUGUUCCUUUUCAUACGACACCACCAAUAAUGUUACUUCAAGUCAUCAUAUGUAACACUUAAAAAAUUUAAAAGGUUUUCUAGAGUCUAACAUAAGUGUUAAGAGGUUUAGACACUAUUUUAAGGCCAAUUUUAAUGUAUAUAAGUAAUUUAGGAAUUUUAUAAGUCAAAACAUCAAAGAACACCCAUGACGUCCGAAAACUAGUUCAACGAGGUGCUAGCGUGCCUUAGCCUAUUUAACCAGCUUUUACGAGUCGGAAAAUGAUGAAAAUUGGUGGAAGGGUGUAUAAAAUGUAUUAGAGUUGAUUCUUAGUCGAAACAUCUGAGAACAAAUCCCCAAGUACCAACCAAGUGCCCUUGAAGAGGACCCUUGCAAAGUGACCAAAAGUUAUCAAGGGACAGUGUCACCAUUGGAUGCCACAGACGGCUCGUGGUCCAAUCGACGAGGCGUCGAUUGCCUUAGUCGAUGGACACUUAGCCAAAUUCUUGAAGGGCCUGUUUUGCAAAGUCUCUGAACGCAUCAACGGAUAUGCAGCACGGAAGGGAAUAGUGGUCGUCGAUGGACACAUGAUCCGUCGAUCAAGGUGUCUUUUGUGAGUUGAAGAACUCCAUUGAAGACCAAGCUAGGGGUGGGUUCAAAGCUUAAAAGGGUCGAAUUUCUACACAAUUAUUCAUCAAUUAGUAAGGUUCCGGUCGUUGAAGGACUUUUAAGACGACUUUAAAGGAAGACUUGGAACUCUCAUUCAUCCAAGAUGGGUAGGUCCUCACUUUCCGAGGGCAAUGCCACUAUCAAGAUUAUGGAGUUGUUUUAGUUUUAAGACUCUUAUGUUCUGUCCUUUUAAUUUGAGCACUAAACAUUGUAUGACCUAUAUGUGGUCUUGUUUUAUUGAUGUAUGGGCUAGGCCCAAAUUAUUAUACUCUUGCUUGAUAGUUAUGA